rnacentral:rRNA from 1 species
GAUGAACGCUGGCGGCAUGCCUAACACAUGCAAGUCGAACGGGAGGAUCUUUCGGGGUCCGAGAGUGGCGAACGGGUGAGUAACACGUUGGUGACCUGCCCUAAAGCGGGGGACAACAGAUGGAAACGUCUGCUAAUACCCCAUGGGCCUUAAAGCGUUGGAAGUUUUAAGGUAAAGCUAAAGCACUUUAGGAGGGGCCAGCGGGCUAUCAGCUAGUUGGUAGGGUAACGGCCUACCAAGGCGAAGACGGCAGGGGGCGUGAGAGCGUGGCCCCCCANAAUGGGACUGAGACACGGCCCAUACUCCUACGGGAGGCAGCAGUGAGGAUAUUGCGCAAUGGGGGCAACCCUGACGCAGCAAUGCCGCGUGAGUG